ACUUUCAUAGCUUAAAUAGAGCGUAAUUUUGAAGCAAUUAAGGUAGUAAAUUACUUGUAAGUA
rnacentral:tRNA from 1 species